UCUACGGCCAUACCACCCGUUCUCGUCUGAUCUCGGAAGCUAAGCAGGGUCGGGCCUGGUUAGUACUUGGAUGGGAGAAAUCAAGAGUCACAAGGA
rnacentral:rRNA from 1 species